UUCUGGUGCUUGCACUAGAAAAACUUAGCGGCGAACGGGUGAGUAACACGUAAAGAACCUGCCUCAUAGACUGGGACAACUAUUGGAAACGAUAGCUAAUACCGGAUAACAGUAUUUCUCGCAUGAGAGAUAUUUAAAAGUUGGUUAUGCUAACACUAUGAGAUGGCUUUGCGGUGCAUUAGCUAGUUGGUGGGGUAAAGGCCCACCAAGGCGACGAUGCAUAGCCGACCUGAGAGGGUGAUCGGCCACACUGGGACUGAGACACGGCCCAGACUCCUACGGGAGGCAGCAGUAGGGAAUCUUCCGCAAUGGGCGAAAGCCUGACGGAGCAACGCCGCGUGAGUGAAGAAGGAUUUCGGUUCGUAAAGCUCUGUUGUUAGGGAAGAAUGGAUAUGUAGUAACUAUACAUAUAAGAGACGGUACCUAACCAGAAAGCCACGGCGAACUACGUGCCAGCAGCCGCGGUAAUACGUAGGUGGCAAGCGUUGUCCGGAAUUAUUGGGCGUAAAGCGCGCGCAGGUGGUUUAAUAAGUCUGAUGUGAAAGCCCACGGCUCAACCGUGGAGGGUCAUUGGAAACUGUUAAACUUGAGUGCAGGAGAGAAAAGUGGAAUUCCUAGUGUAGCGGUGAAAUGCGUAGAGAUUAGGAGGACACCAGUGGCGAAG
rnacentral:rRNA from 1 species